rnacentral:rRNA from 1 species
GGUAGUGACAAUAAAUACCUUACAGAGGUCUCGUUAACCGAGAUCUCUCAAACGGAAUGAGUACAACGUGAAUCCUUUAACGAGGAUCGACUGGAGGGCAAGCCUGGUGCCAGCAGCCGCGGUAAUUCCAGCUCCAGUAGCGUAUAUUAAAGCUGUUGCGGUUAAAAAGCUCGUAGUUGGAUAUCAGUGCGUGUCCGGUCCGGUAUGCCUGGCGGCGUCGCUCGCGCGGCACUGCUGGGCUCCCAAAUAUCGGCUGGCCGCAUUCAAUCGUGCCGGAUCCGUCGACGGGCCGUUCUUCGGAGGGGCCUGUUGGCGACCGGCGACGUUACCUUGAACAAAUUAGAGUGCUCAAAGCAGGCUCUGAAUGCCUGUAUACAUAUUCAUGGAAUUGGAGAAUACGUCCCUGGCUCGAUUUGGUUGGUUUUGAGAGUCGAAGGGAAAUGAUUAAUAGGGACUGACGGAGGCAUUCGUAUUGCGACGCGAGGGGUGAAAUCCUGUGACCGUCGCACGACGAACUACUGCGAAAGCAUUUGCCGAGAAUGUUUUCAUUAGUCAAGAACGAAAGUUAGAGGUUCGAAGGCGAUCAGAUACCGCCCUAGUUCUAACCGUAAACGAUGUCGACCAGCAAUCCGCAACGGUCACUACACGGACUGUGCGGGCAGCUUCCCCGGGGAAACCAGAGUUUUUGGACUCCGGGGGAAGUAUGGUUGCAAAGCUGAAACUUAAAGGAAUUGACGGAAGGGCACCACCAGGAGUGGAGCUUGCGGCUUAAUUUGACUCAACACGGGACAACUCACCAGGCCCGGACACCGUAAGGAUUGACAGACUGAUAGCUCUCUCUUGAUUCAGUGGGUGGUGGUGCAUGGCCGUUCUUAGUUGGUGGAGUGAUUUGUCUGGUUUAUUCCGAUAACGAACGAGACUCUGGCCUAUUAAACUUGACACUGUCAGUCUCUUGUGACUGCGGUGCGC